rnacentral:rRNA from 1 species
CCCUUAGAUGUUCUGGGCCGCACGCGCGCUACAAUGAUGAAUUCAACGAGUUUAUAACCUUGGUUGAAAAGCCUGGGUAAUCUUUUGAACUUUCGUCGUGAUGGGGCUAGACCCUUGCAAUUAUUGGUCUCCAACGAGGAAUUCCUAGUAAACGCAAGUCAUCAGCUUGCAUUGAUUACGUCCCUGCCCUUUGUACACACCGCCCGUCGCACCUACCGAUUGAAUGGUCCGGUGAAGCCUCCGGAUUGGCGCGCACCUCGGUGCCGCCGAGAAGUUGGCUAAACCUUACCAUUUAGAGGAAGGUGAAGUCGUAACA